CAACUACUCCCUCUGUCCCAAAUUUCUUGUCUUAGAUUUGUCUAGAUAUGGAUGUAUCUAAUACUAAAAUGUGACUUGAUACAUCCGUAUCUAGACAAAUCUAAGACAAGAAUUUUGGGACGUAGGGAGUACUUU
rfam:Triticum aestivum genome assembly, contig: Triticum_aestivum_CS42_TGACv1_scaffold_220783_3B